UACGAAGGGGGCUAGCGUUGCUCGGAAUCACUGGGCGUAAAGGGUGCGUAGGCGGUUCUUUAAGUCAGGGGUGAAAUCCUGGAGCUCAACUCCAGAACUGCCUUUGAUACUGAAGAUCUUGAGUUCGGGAGAGGUGAGUGGAACUGCGAGUGUAGAGGUGAAAUUCGUAGAUAUUCGCAAGAACACCAGUGGCGAAGGCGGCUCACUGGCCCGAUACUGACGCUGAGGCACGAAAGCGUGGGGGGCAAACAGG
rnacentral:rRNA from 1 species